UACGUAGGGUCCGAGCGUUGUCCGGAAUUAUUGGGCGUAAAGAGCUCGUAGGUGGCCUGUCGCGUCGGCUGUGAAAACUCGGGGCUCAACUCCGAGCUUGCAGUCGAUACGGGCAGGCUAGAGUUCGGCAGGGGAGACUGGAAUUCCUGGUGUAGCGGUGAAAUGCGCAGAUAUCAGGAGGAACACCGGUGGCGAAGGCGGGUCUCUGGGCCGAUACUGACACUGAGGAGCGAAAGCGUGGGGAGCGAACAGG
rnacentral:rRNA from 1 species